rnacentral:rRNA from 1 species
AUUGAACGCUGGCGGCAGGCCUAACACAUGCAAGUCGAGCGAGUGGCGGACGGGUGAGUAAUGUAUGGGGACUGCCCGCUAGUGGGGGAUACAUACUGGAAACGGUAGCUAAUACCGCAUACUAUCGGAUAACCCAGAUGGGAUUAGCUAGUAGGUGAGGGAAUGGCUCACCAAGGCGACGAGCCAUAGCUGAUCUGAGAGGAUGAUCAGCCACACUGGGACUGAGACACGGCCCAAACUCCUACGGAGGCAGCAGUAGGGAAUAUUGCACAAUGGACGCAAGCCUGAUGCAGCCAUGCCGCGUGUAUGAAGAAGGCUGUAGGGUCGUAAAGUACUGUCAGUCGGGAAGCGGUACCCACCGAGAAAGCACCGGCUAACACCGUGCCAGCAGCCGCGGUAAUAC